AUUGAACGCUGGCGGCAGGCCUAACACAUGCAAGUCGAACGGUAACAGGAAGCAGCUUGCUGCUUCGCUGACGAGUGGCGGACGGGUGAGUAAUGUCUGGGAAGCUGCCUGAUGGAGGGGGAUAACUACUGGAAACGGUAGCUAAUACCGCAUAAUGUCGCAAGACCAAAAGAGGGGGACCUUCGGGCCUCUUGCCAUCGGAUGUGCCCAGAUGGGAUUAGCUUGUUGGUGGGGUAACGGCUCACCAAGGCGACGAUCCCUAGCUGGUCUGAGAGGAUGACCAGCCACACUGGAACUGAGACACGGUCCAGACUCCUACGGGAGGCAGCAGUGGGAAUAUUGCACAAUGGGCGCAAGCCUGAUGCAGCCAUGCCGCGUGUAUGAAGAAGGCCUUCGGGUUGUAAGUACUUUCAGCGGGAGG
rnacentral:rRNA from 1 species